rnacentral:piRNA from 1 species
UUAGGUCUUCCAGUCUUGCACAA